CAGGAACUUUGCAAAUGUCACAUAACAAGAUAAAGCCAAUAAUUUAAGAGCACUGUUUUGCUUUUGCAAGACUGAAUUUCCUGGCAGACACUUAAAUAUCCUAUUGGAUCCUUUGAAAGCAAUUCCUUUUCCUAUUAAAUUUAUACUCAUAUAUAUUACAUAGAUAUGUGAAAAUAACCUGAGCAGAGAAUCUGGCAAUACAGAUUUGGAAGUAGAUGAGGCUCCAUAUUAUUGUCACAUAGUUCCAUAAAGACUCAGAAAGAGAUCAUCUCUCUGCCCCAUCUGGAUCUAGCCUUCAUGAAGCAGCAAGAGGAAUGGUCAAGGGCCGGGUCAAGGACCAGCACUAUAGAAUGAGGCCAGACUUGGUUUAAAUUCCAUUUCUAGGCGUGUCUGAGUGGCUCGGUGGGUUAAGCAUCUGCCUUUUGUUCAGGUCAUGAUCCCAGGGUCCUGGGAUCAAGCCUUGCAUCAGGCUCCCUGUUCAGCAGAGAGCCUGCUUCUCUCUCUCUCUCUGCCCCUCCCUGCCACUAUGUGCUUGCUCACUCACUCUCUCGCUCUGCUCUCUCUCAAAUAAAUAGUCUUUUAAAAAGUAAACAAACAAAUUCCAUUUCUAACCCUCGCUCAUAAUGUGACCUUAACCGAGUCACUUUAUCUCUCUGAGCCUCUGGGUUCUCCUGUGUAACUGUCUGGCUAGGGCUGUCACGAGGAUUAAGUGAACAGCGCAUGUAAAUCCCUCAGCCUCUCAGCCUAGCACUGUAAGCACACCAUAUUAGUUCCAAUCACUUCCACAGCUCUGAUACAAUUUUCCAAUUUCGGAAGCCUCCCACUGAUCACAGCCUGCAAAAGGGAGCGGCGAACGUGAACCGGGGAGGAGGCACUUCUACAUCUGAGCCUGCGGUCAGAGGGCGUCGAGCAAGAGAGAAGAUGUGGGGAGGGGCCCAUGAACACGGUUGCCAGAGCCAGAGGGAGAGAGGAAGAGAUCAGGAGGCAGGACUGAGCCCCGGAGACUCCCAGGGUCAGAGGCGAGUAGAGGAUGGGCGUCCAGCGGUGAUGAGGAGGACCCACUGAACCAGGGCGAGCCCCAAACCACUCGGGAUAGCUCUAGUGCUCUGAGCCACUUGCCACCACCUUCCUCUGUGGCCUUGGCUCAUCCUGCCAUCUUCCUCUGGACUGCUGUAUUUCCCCAGGUGUGUCUCAUUGCCUCAGACCUUUGCACAUGUUAUUUCCUCUCUAGGAUCUCAAGAGUGAUGUAGACUCACCAUCGAUAAUUCAAACACAAUGGCAAUGCACAACACAGAAAGUAAAAGCUGCC
rnacentral:lncRNA from 12 species